GAUCUCUUCCAUGAUGGUCCUACAGUUCAUGAUGAGGGGAGGCAGAGGGACGCUCCUGGCCAGCUCCUCGAUGUAGCGGGCGAACUCCAUGGUUUUGAACUGGGUGACUUUGGCAAGCUCGAGGGUUUUGGCGGAGGUGGCUGCUCAUCAUGCAGAGUCUGGUGAUGUUCAAGACCAUGACGAUGGUAAAGGCCACCAGGCAGACAAUCAUAUAGUAGAUGCCCAUGUCCCCGGAGGUGAAGAUGACCCUCAGGGUCACUGUAUUGUUCACGGUGCCAUAGAUGUUGGAAGCAACACAGGUGUAUUUACCUCGGUCUGAAAAGGACACCUGGGUCAUUUCUAGAAGCCUGCUCCCCUCUAUUGUUUGCCUUCCCCACCUUAUCUAACUCAGAACUGAACUCUGCUUUCUCAGAAAGGAAAGAAGAGAGGUGUACGGAUGUAAUGGCUAGCAAUCGGUUCUUCAGGAAAAAAAAAGGAACAGGAUAACUUUUGAUUUUAAUCUGCGAUUAUUAAUAUUUUCUCCAUCAAUUUAAGUAAAAAAAAAUGAAGUUAAGCCUUGAUUUGUAAUACUUGCUGAUUACUCAGGGGUAAAUGUUUCCACCUAAAAUUUAACAAUCAUCUCUUGAGAACCACAAAGAACUGACUCCAGCACAACCUUGGGAAAGGUUUAGUUUCCUUAUCUGUUCCCCAGGACCAGAGCUGGUUUUUCAAUUCCUUACCAUGCAGCUUUUUUAUUUAUCUUGUUAUAGGUCCUGCUUAUAUCACUGUAUCACAUCAUACACAUUUCUACAUUAUUUGAAACCACCUGAAACUUUGAUCACGUCACUGAAGUUCCUACCAACACAGAAAUUUGGAAGCUGGUAUUCAUUUUCUCCACUGAGUCUAGCUGUGCAAAUACAUUAAGAACUCCCAAAUUCUUUACUAAAUUUGAAAGGACUAUUUUCCCUUUCCUCUUCCUACCCCCCCACCCCCUGCCACAACCCCUGCCAAACAGGCUAACCCUAAGAUUAUGAUGUUAGCUGGUGCCAGGCUGUAUGUUGGGGAUCUUUUUGGAUUCAGAAUAAGUCAUAGCUAGCUUUGUGCCUCUCUCUAGGGUAGAGUUUUGCUAAGUAAUUCCAUGGUUCUGAAUCUGAACUUGGGACUUUGGUGUGAUCCUUAAUUGUUAUCUCAGGUCUUAAGAAGGGGGAAAGGAAGAGAAUAAAUAUUUCUCUAGUGUUUACUAUGUGCCAGACACUAUGCUAAAGAUAUUUUAUUUUCCCAAUUAUGUUAAUAAUUUUCAACAUGUUUUCCAAAAUUAUAAGAUCCAAAGUGUCUCUCUUCUUCCCUUCCCUCUCUCCUCUUGAAGAUGGUGAGUAAUUUGACCUGGAUUAUACAUGUAUUAUCACACAAAACAUACUUCCACAUUGGUCAUAGUUUUAUGCCUUUUUUUUAAACCCUCACCUUCUGUCUUAGAAUAAAUACUGUGUAUUAGUUCCAAGGCAGAAGAGUGGCAAGGGCUAGGAAAUGGGGGUCAAGUGACUUGCCCAGGAUUACACAGCUAGGAGGUGUCUGAGGCCAGAUUUGAACACAGGACCUCCCAUCUGGGGGUCUGAUUUUCAAUCCACUGAGCCACCUAGUUGCCCCCAUAUAUGCCUUUUUUAAAAAACAAAUAUCUCAUUUGAUCUUCACAACAACUCUGUGAAGUAGGUGGUAUUAUGAUGUUCAUUUUACAUUUAAGGAAACCAAGGCAGACAGUGUUUAAGUGACUUACCCAAGAUCAGAUAUAUAGUUAAGUAAUUUGAACUGAGAUUUUCCUGACUCUAGGCUGAGUUCUCUAUCCAUUGCACCAUCACCUGCCUCUGUCCACCUUGAGGAGUAGGGAUUCUUAAUCUAAGAUUCAGAGAUCCUAAUUUUUAAGGGAUUGGUCCAAGAACUUAGAUGGGAAAAAAAUGGCAUUUAUUUUCACUAAUCUUUGGUUUCCUUUGUUUAGUUUAUACUUUUAAGAAUAUUAUUCUAAGAAGAGGUCUGUAGGCUUCAGUAGACUACCAAAGGCAUUCUUGACCCAAUAAAGGUUAAAGAUUCCAUUUGUAGAGGAUCUUAACAGGAACCGGGGGCAGACCCAGAAGGACCUUGGUAUCUUAAGUAUCACUCAGCUAGAAGUCUGUGUAAUUAGAAUCUGCACCCCAGGACUCCAAUUCCCAGAAUCCCACUUUCCUUCUCCCAUUACAUGCUGAUGUAGGGAAGAUACAAGUUUUGUGUAGUCCCGCCUCUGUCUUUUUUUGCCUGAUCGCAGCUGGCAAAGGGGACUUAAUGACAGCCAAGAGAAUCUAUACACGUGGGUUUAUUUUUGUUAGAUAAUUAGGUUUGAAUUUCUAUUUCCUUUAGUUCAUUUUCUUUCUACUUCAAGUGAUUAUUAGUAAAUUAUAUGAAAUAUAAUACUUGGAGUUAUUACAUAUUAAUUUUAAAUCUUACAAGGCUCAUAUAAGGAGAUGCUGAUGAACUUCCAAGGGAUACUUUAGAAAUCAAGCAUGGUCUGAAAUACACACUGGUACCUUGAGGGGAGAGUUGGCAAAUGUUAGCGUCCACUUGGAAGGAAGUUCAGGGUAAUCACAUCUAACAAUGUGGUACUCUAUAGAGGCCACUUUAAGAAUUUCCUCUGCUAUUUGUCAUUUCUAACCAAUCAUUCUUUGGCUAUUGUCUUUUGUGCACCCAAUUAUGGAAGUUUUACAUUUUUUUGAGUCCCCUUUCCUGGGACUGACUCUGGAAUUAUGAGGAAAGGGUGUCUCUUAUGGUAGUAAAUUCCAUCGAGACAACAUUAAAAUGGCCCAGCCCCUGGAUCACACUUCAUUUGGGUUUAGAUACGCAAACAUUGUGUUUAGUUGCAAUGUAUUAAUAAUGGUGAUGGUGGGGUGGAUGGGAGUCAAUGAUUAGUUGGAUCAUGGAAUCCUGUAAUCAUAUGAGUUUUGGGAUGACUCCUCUCCUGCCUUUCUUUCUAGGUUCUCCCUUUGAGAGCUGUGAGGCAUUUUCCAGAUUAUCAAUAGUUGUGACAAUAAAGAUUUCUGCAAGUUUCAUGGUUGUAAGGGGCUGUGGUAUCUACUCUGCCACUAAGAUACAUCUCAGAGGAUGGUAUUAGGUUUGAGGAAGACCUGAGAGGUGUAUUGUUUUAGAAUCUUGAACCCUAGAGACUACAUUUCCCAUAAUCCCCUUUUCCUUUUCCUGUUUGGUGGCUCCUUAAGUGGAUGGAGUUUUGAGUUUCCAUUUUCUGCCCAAGCAGCUCUCUCUGGGCUAGGGGGAAGGAGGGAGCAUUUUGAGUGUUUGCUGGAGUUUUUUAAAUUCCUGUUUGCUCUAAGUUGAUUUUAAUAAAUAGUAUUAAAAUAA